rnacentral:rRNA from 1 species
GAUGAACGCUGGCGGCGUGCCUAACACAUGCAAGUCGAACGGGAAUCUUCGGAUUCUAGUGGCGGACGGGUGAGUAACGCGUAAGAAUCUAACUUCAGGACGGGGACAACAGUUGGAAACGACUGCUAAUACCCGAUGUGCCGAAAGGUGAAACCUAAUUGGCCUGAAGAAGAGCUUGCGUCUGAUUAGCUAGUUGGUGGGGUAAAGGCCUACCAAGGCGACGAUCAGUAGCUGGUCUGAGAGGAUGAGCAGCCACACUGGGACUGAGACACGGCCCAGACUCCUACGGGAGGCAGCAGUGGGGAAUUUUCCGCAAUGGGCGAAAGCCUGACGGAGCAACGCCGCGUGAGGGAGGAAGGUCUUUGGAUUGUAAACCUCUUUUCUCAAGGAAGAAGUUCUGACGGUACUUGAGGAAUCAGCCUCGGCUAACUCCGUGCCAGCAGCCGCGGUAAUACGGGGGAGGCAAGCGUUAUCCGGAAUUAUUGGGCGUAAAGCGUCCGCAGGUGGUCAGCCAAGUCUGCCGUCAAAUCAGGUUGCUUAACGACCUAAAGGCGGUGGAAACUGGCAGACUAGAGAGCAGUAGGGGUAGCAGGAAUUCCCAGUGUAGCGGUGAAAUGCGUAGAGAUUGGGAAGAACAUCGGUGGCGAAAGCGUGCUACUGGGCUGUAUCUGACACUCAGGGACGAAAGCUAGGGGAGCGAAAGGGAUUAGAUACC